rnacentral:rRNA from 1 species
UACGGAGGAGGCAAGCGUUACUCGGAAUUAUUGGGCGUAAAGGGCGCGUAGGCGAUCUGACAAGUCUGGUGUGAAAGCCCAACAUGUUAACUGUGGAAGUGCAUUAGGAAACUGUUGGAUUUGAGUUCAGGAGAGGAAGGCAGAAUUCCCGGUGUAGCGGUGAAAUGCGUAGAGAUCGGGAGGAAUACCAGUGGCGAAGGCGGCCUUCUGGACUGACACUGACGCUGAGGCACGAAGGCCAGGGAGCAAACGGG